GACGAACGCUGGCGGCGUGCUUAACACAUGCAAGUCGAACGGAAAGGCCCUGCUUUUGUGGGGUGCUCGAGUGGCGAACGGGUGAGUAACACGUGAGUAACCUGCCCUUGACUUUGGGAUAACUUCAGGAAACUGGGGCUAAUACCGGAUAGGAGCUCCUGCUGCAUGGUGGGGGUUGGAAAGUUUCGGCGGUUGGGGAUGGACUCGCGGCUUAUCAGCUUGUUGGUGGGGUAGUGGCUUACCAAGGCUUUGACGGGUAGCCGGCCUGAGAGGGUGACCGGCCACAUUGGGACUGAGGUACGGCCCAGACUGCUACGGGAGGCAGCAGUGGGGAAUAUUGCACAAUGGGCGGAAGCCUGAUGCAGCAACGCCGCGUGCGGGAUGACGGCCUUCGGGGUGUAAACCGCUUUCGCCUGUGACGAAGCGUGAGUGACGGUAAUGGGUAAAGAAGCAACGGCUAACUACGUG
rnacentral:rRNA from 1 species